rnacentral:rRNA from 1 species
GAUGAACGCUGGCGGCGUGCCUAAUACAUGCAAGUCGAGCGAACAGAUGAGGAGCUUGCUCCUCUGACGUUAGCGGCGGACGGGUGAGUAACACCUGGAUAACCUACCUAUAAGACUGGGAUAACUUCGGGAAACCGGAGCUAAUACCGGAUAAUAUAUUGAACCGCAUGGUUCAAUAGUGAAAGACGGUUUUGCUGUCACUUAUAGAUGGAUCCGCGCCGCAUUAGCUAGUUGGUAAGGUAACGGCUUACCAAGGCAACGAUGCGUAGCCGACCUGAGAGGGUGAUCGGCCACACUGGAACUGAGACACGGUCCAGACUCCUACGGGAGGCAGCAGUAGGGAAUCUUCCGCAAUGGGCGAAAGCCUGACGGAGCAACGCCGCGUGAGUGAUGAAGGUCUUCGGAUCGUAAAACUCUGUUAUUAGGGAAGAACAAAUGUGUAAGUAACUAUGCACGUCUUGACGGUACCUAAUCAGAAAGCCACGGCUAACUACGUG